rnacentral:rRNA from 1 species
CCAAAAAUGGUUUACCCUUUAAAGACUAUUUGUUGAUGUACUCCUUUUACUUAAUGUACCCUAUCAUGGCUUUUAUAACCCCUGCCAGUUAGAAAAUUUUGCCACUCUAAGAAAUUAGGAGCAUGGUACCAUUUCAGUAACGACUAAUAAAGUGCCAGCAGUCGCGGUCAUACUUUAGUUACGAGUAAAAGUAAUAAGCAGAUUAUAAGUGCAAUAUAGAUCUUUGUAGUGAAAUAUAAAUAUAUAAACUCCUAACACACUUACAUACACACAACGGCUGAGCUCAAACAGGGAUUAGAUACCCCUUUAUGCAGCAAGUAUCCUAUUCUGCUGGGGACUACACUAGACAUUCAAACCCAACCAACAUGGCGGUAACUUAAACAUUCAGGGGAACUUACGGAAUAAUUGAUAACCACCAAGAACACAUACGUCUGAUUAAAUCUUACAUACCGUCGUCGGCAGAUAUACUAUAAUAGUAUAUCAUUUUGUGUUACAAGAAGACAGAUCAAGGUGUAGACUAUACAGCCGCUCACGCGA